rnacentral:rRNA from 1 species
CCUACGGGGGGCUGCAGUGGGGAAUAUUGCGCAAUGGGCGAAAGCCUGACGCAGCGACGCCGCGUGAGGGACGAAGGCCUUCGGGUUGUAAACCUCUUUCAGCGGGGACGAAGCGAAAGUGACGGUACCCGCAGAAGAAGCACCGGCUAACUACGUGCCAGCAGCCGCGGUAAUACGUAGGGUGCAAGCAUUGUCCGGAUUUAUUGGGCGUAAAGAGCUCGUAGGCGGCUUGUCACGUCGGAUGUGAAAACUCGGGGCUCAACCCCGAGCCUGCAUUCGAUACGGGCUAGCUAGAGUGUUGCAGGGGAGACUGGAAUUCCUGGUGUAGCGGUGAAAUGCGCAGAUAUCAGGAGGAACACCGGUGGCGAAGGCGGGUCUCUGGGCAACUACUGACGCUGAGGAGCGAAAGCGUGGGGAGCGAACAGGCUUAGAUACCCCAGUAGUC